GAAAUGCGAUAAGUAAUGUAAAUUGCAGAAUUCAGUGAAUCAUCGAAUCUUUGAACGCACAUUGCGCCCGCCAGUAUUCUGGCGGGCAUGCCUGUUCGAGCGUCAUUACAACCCUCAGGCCCCCGGGCCUGGCGUUGGGGAUCGGCGGAAGCCCCCUGCGGGCACAACGCCGUCCCCCAAAUACAGUGGCGGUCCCGCCGCAGCUUCCAUUGCGUAGUAGCUAACACCUCGCAACUGGAGAGCGGCGCGGCCACGCCGUAAAACACCCAACUUCUGAAUGUUGACCUCGAAUCAGGUAGGAAUACCCGCUGAACUUAAGC
rnacentral:misc_RNA from 1 species